UGCGUAGGGUGCAAGCGUUAAUCGGAAUUACUGGGCGUAAAGCGUGCGCAGGCGGUUUUGUAAGACAGAUGUGAAAUCCCCGGGCUCAACCUGGGAACUGCGUUUGUGACUGCAAGACUUGAGUGCGGCAGAGGGGGGUAGAAUUCCACGUGUAGCAGUGAAAUGCGUAGAGAUGUGGAGGAAUACCGAUGGCGAAGGCAGCCCCCUGGGUCGACACUGACGCUCAUGCACGAAAACGUGGGGAGCAAACAGG
rnacentral:rRNA from 1 species